rnacentral:rRNA from 1 species
AUUUUUUCGCAAUGGGCGAAAGCCUGACGGAGCAAUACCGCGUGGGGGAAGAAGGUUUUUGGAUUGUAAACCCCUUUUCUCAGGGAAGAAGAUAUGACGGUACCUGAGGAAUAAGCAUCGGCUAACUCCGUGCCAGCAGCCGCGGUAAUACGGAGGAUGCAAGCGUUAUCCGGAAUUAUUGGGCGUAAAGCGUCCGCAGGUGGUCACUCAAGUCUGCUGUCAAAUACUAGAGCUUAACUCUGGAAAGGCAGUGGAAACUGAGAAACUAGAGUCCGGUAGGGGUAGCGGGAAUUCCCAGUGUAGCGGUGAAAUGCGUAGAUAUUGGGAAGAACAUCGGUGGCGAAAGCGCGCUACUGGGCCGGAACUGACA